rnacentral:lncRNA from 1 species
AUGAGAAACUUAAUAUGGAACUUUCCACUCGGGCAGAUUGGCAACCCAUCUUUAAUUUACAGCCUCAGAAGGCUGCCUGGGACAUGGAAGGGUUCAGUUCCUGGUCCCUGGAACAUAGCAAGUAUAUGCCAGAGAGAGGCUUUGAAGUUCAUCUUUCUGCCUCUAAAACAAGACCUCUGUCUACUAUCACAUUCUCUCUUCUCCUCAUCUCUGUCUCUCUCUCUCUUUCUCUGUCUCUCUCUCCUUCCUCUGUCUCCCCCUCUCUCUCUUCUUCCCUCUCUCUUUCUUCUUCUCUCCCUCCCCUUUCUUCCUUUUCUGUCACUGCCUCUUUCUUUCUUUCUUUCUUCCUUCUUUCCUUCCUUCCUUCUUUCUUUCUUUCUUUCUUUCUUUCUUUCUUUCUUUCUUUCUUUCUUUCUUUCUAAAACCCUUACCUUUUCUCUUGGAGUCAAUACUGUGUAUUGGCUCCAAGGCAGAAGAGUGGUAAGGGCUAGGCAAUGGGGGUUAAGUGACUUGCCCAGGGUCACACAGCUGGGAAGUGUCUGA